UACGUAGGGGGCAAGCGUUGUCCGGAUUUAUUGGGCGUAAAGAACGUGUAGGCGGCCAGGUAGGUCGGUUGUGAAAACUCGAGGCUCAACCUCGAGAUGUCGACCGAAACCAUCUGGCUAGAGUCCGGAAGAGGAGAAUGGAAUUCCCGGUGUAGCGGUGAAAUGCGCAGAUAUCGGGAAGAACACCCGUGGCGAAGGCGGUUCUCUGGGACGGUACUGACGCUGAGACGCGAAAGCGUGGGGAGCGAACAGG
rnacentral:rRNA from 1 species